AGGGCCAUCUUUCCAAUCUGGUCAGGUGGGAGCUACAGGAAUUUCUGCCCUGGCAAUUUAUGAUUAUGAAGGAAGUGGGGACGAUGAGAUUUCCUUCCAGCCGGCGGACCUGAUCACAGACAUAGAGAUGGUGGAUGAGGGCUGGUGGAGUGGAACCUGUGGAGGGCGCCGUGGGCUGUUCCCUGCUAACUAUGUGCAGCUUGUACAAUAAUCAUGUAUCAUGUGUGCAACAAAGGAACACUGUCAGCUUCCUUACAGGCCGCAGCUUUUUUUCUAGGGACAUGACCCAGCAACUAUACACUCCCGCACUCUUUAUUAUAGGGAUUUGACCCAUCGACUAUACACUCCCGUAGCGACUAUACUGUUGGUAUAUACCAGGGUUAUAAUACAAUUUACUUAUUAUUAUUCUUACUAAAAUAACCUCCAACUAAAAUGUAUACAAAACAAUUGAAAUAAAUAUUUAUUCCUAAAUUCUUAGAUUAGUUAGCCUUAUAAACACAUUGAAUCAUAUUUAAGUAGAAACUAGAAUAGAUUAUGAAUCAACUAUACAUGCUUAUGCCGUUAUAAUAUUCUUUAUAAGGUAAACCAAAAAUAUAUCUUACUUACAAUGAAUCACAUUAAAAUAUCACUAUAAAGUACCAGAAUCUUUUUAAAUUAGCCAAUAACUCUAAUUCAUUGCCCAAUAUGGAUUACAAGCUUACUCUGCUUAAUUUACAACAAUCAGAGAUUUAAAUACAAUAACCAAUUUUGAAAUAUCUCACAAUAGCUCCAAAUAACUUAAUAAACACCAGAGAGAUUUACUUACAAUAAUAAGCCUGACUUAGAGAUAUGAAAUACAAAACACCUUUAUCUAGCAAAUAAGAUUACUUAGCAUCAAUAUGACUAGUUCUAAACUACACAGGAUUAUGAACAUGAACUUAAAAUACAAAGUGCCCUUUUAAACCACCAGCUUCAAUUAAACUAUAGCUAUAGAAUACCUUUGAUGUAAAUAUUAUAUAUACUUAACAAUUGCUUAUACUUUACCAGAUAACAAAAUGAAUGCUCAGCUUCUUCUGAUAAGUACAGUUCACUUCAUAAAUAAUAAAGGUAUUUGCAAUUUAGAGAAUAAAAGAUUUAGGCCCAAUGUUGCUUUCUGUAAACCAAGGCAGCAAGAUAAGUCAGAGAGUUUAAACUCAGCAGCAUGAUCCUUUUUUUCCUCUGUGCAAGCGACUAUAUCAUGUGAUAAGUCCCACAUUUUUAUACGCUCUUGAUAGGCCCUUAACGAAUCUUGUCUGUGAUAGGUCCUUCGAGCCAAACAUUUAAUUGUCUUAUUGGGAACAUAUGGUUAUUUGAUACUAUAAUUCCCUUUGGUUGUAAUUCUUGCAUAAACCACUAGAUGGUAGCAGACAAACAGAAAUGCAGUCUUACUAUCAAAUACUAUUAACAGUACAUACAGAUUCUUAUAUAUAUUCAAAUGUAUAUUUAGUAUAUUCACUAUUUCUUGAUUUUAGCAAAACCUGUCUGGUCACAUAUAUGUCCCAUCUAAUAUGAUUUAGCAUGUAUUUAUAGAUACUAAACAUAAGCAUAUCUCUAGUAAUUUUUUAAACUGCAUUUAAAAAUCACAUUUUCCAUGAAAGGAUUUAAAAGGAUCACAAUACCUUCAGCAUGGAUCUAGCUAAUAUCUCAGUUAUCAUCUUAAUAUCACAUACAUACCUUGAGAUUAGCAAUCAGUUGUAAUUUCUAAAAAAUUCUAUAUUUAUAUUGGAUUAUUUUCCCAUACCAAUAUCAAUAUUGCAUAUAUGUAUAUCUCUUGCUGAGUGUAUAAAAACAUAUGAUAAAAUUUACAGCAACAAUUAAAUAUGCACUUAUUAGAUGCCUUUACAGUUGCAUUUUUUAUGAGGGACUAGUAGUAUAAAUCAAUAAAAUAUAAAUGUUUAUCUGA